rfam:Purpureocillium lilacinum isolate PLFJ-1 scaffold00003, whole genome shotgun sequence.
ACAUACGACCACACCUACCAGGCAGCACGGGGUCUCGUCCGCUCCCCCAUAGUUAAGCUGGUGAGGGGCAGAUUAGUAGCUGGAUCGGUGACGGCCAGCGAACACCGGCUGUUGUAUGUC